rnacentral:rRNA from 1 species
AGUAUAUAGUUAUAAAUGUUUAUUUUAUUUAAAUUAUAAGGUUAUUUAAAGGAACUCGGCAAAUUUAUUUUCCACCUGUUUAAUAAAAACAUGUCUUUUUGAUAAUAAUUUAAAGUCUAACCUGCCCAAUGAAAAAUUUAAUGGCCGCGGUAUUUUAACCGUGCAAAGGUAGCAUAAUCAUUAGUUUUUUAAUUGAAAGCUUGUAUGAAUGGUUGAAUGAGAAAAAUACUGUCUCUAAAUAAUUUUUAGAAUUUUAUUUUUAAGUUAAAAAGCUUAAAUAAAAUUAAAAGACGAGAAGACCCUAUAGAGUUUUAUAAAAAUUUUUAUUAUUAUUAUUUAGAAUUAAUUAUUUAAUAAAAAUUUUUAUUUAAUUGGGGUGAUUAAAAAAUAUAUUAAACUUUUUUUUUAAAAAUACAUUAAUUUAUGAAUAAUUGAUCCUUAAUUUAAGAUUAAAAGAAAAAAUUACCUUAGGGAUAACAGCGUAAUUUUUUUUGAGAGUUCAAAUCGAAAAAAAAGGUUGCGACCUCGAUGUUGGAUUAAAAUUAAUUUUUGGUGUAGAAGCUAAAAGUGGGGGGUCUGUUCGACCCUUAAAAUUUUACAUGAUCUGAGUUUAAACCGGUGUGAGCCAGGUUGGUUUCUAUCUUUAAUAAAUAUAAUAUUUUAGUACGAAAGGACCAAAUAUUAAAUUUAAAAUUUUUAAAUAGAUAAAUAUUAAAU